UACAGAGGUCCCAAGCGUUGUUCGGAUUCACUGGGCGUAAAGGGUGCGUAGGGUGGUUGCGCAAGUCUGAUGUGAAAUCUCCGGGCUCAACCCGGAAAUGGCAUUGGAAACUGCGUGGCUAGAGGGUUGGAGGGGGGACUGGAAUACUUGGUGUAAGCAGUGAAAUGCGUAGAUAUCAAGUGGAACACCAGUGGCGAAGGCGAGUCCCUGGACAACACCUGACACUGAGGCACGAAAGCUAGGGGAGCAAACGGGAU
rnacentral:rRNA from 1 species